UUUUAAGAAUCGUAAAGAGAUUUGUAUGUAUAUAUACAUAGAUGUGUGUGUGUGCAUGUGUGUGUAAUUUCAUUUGCUUCUCCUAAUAACCUUAUAAGGUGGAAGGUAUUAUUCACCCCCCCCAAAAUAUUGAAGAGUUUUAGUCAUACAAUAGAAGUCAGAGAAAGGACUUGUCUCAGCAUCCUUAGAUAAUUGAGAUCCCCCUCCCCCCCAGGGACUUCCAGGAAUGACCCAGGUGGGGAAUCGCACCCCAGAGAGGAGACAGGGUUCAUUCCUCCACAUCGGUGCUCCUCACCAUAUUGCAUUUUUGUUGACAGGUCUCCUCCAGUUGCCACUGCACCCCAUUGCUUCCCCAUCACUCCAUUCAAGCUCUGCCAGAGUUCAUUUUGGGAGAAUCAGACCUGUGGUUUCACUGGCAUUGAGAACUCCCUCGAGGAAGUUCCCUGUACCAAUGCAGUCAGCACCCCAUCUGCAACAAAGACUGAGAGGCUUGCCCAGUCCAUACUGCCGGUAUGUGUCAGAGGUGGGAUUUGAACCCAGGUCUUCCUGACUCUCAGGCUACACUCUCUCCAUUAUACCAUCCUGCCCCACUGCAUUGAGCACAGUAGGUGCUUAUUAAAAAUCUUUUGUUGAUUCUUCCCCAGAGCUUUCCCCUUCAGAUGAUACACUGAUUGACAAGCAGGGGUGGAGAACCUACAGCAUUGAGGCUACAUGUGGCCCUCUAGGUCCUCCAGUGCAGCCCAAAGAAACAAAUUUGUUCUGUGAAGUUUGGAUUCAGUCAAAGGGCUGCACUUGAGGACCUAGAGGGCCAGAUGUGGCCUUGAGACUGCAGAUUCCCCACCCCUGGGCGAGGGAUGUAGAGCAAGCAUCCAAAAGACCCAAAC
rnacentral:lncRNA from 1 species